CUCCUACGGGGGGCAGCAGUGGGGAAUAUUGCACAAUGGGGGAAACCCUGAUGCAGUAACGCCGCGUGAGUGAAGAAGUAUUUCGGUAUGUAAAGCUCUAUCAGCAGGGAAGAAGAUGACGGUACCUGAGUAAGAAGCCCCGGCUAACUACGUGCCAGCAGCCGCGGUAAUACGUAGGGGGCAAGCGUUAUCCGGAUUUACUGGGUGUAAAGGGAGCGUAGACGGUGAGACAAGUCUGAAGUGAAAGCCCGGGGCUCAACCCCGGGACUGCUCUGGAAACUGUACGGCUGGAGUGCAGGAGCGGG
rnacentral:rRNA from 1 species